AGUGAACGCUGGCGGUAGGCCUAACACAUGCAAGUCGAACGGCAGCACAGUAAGAGCUUGCUCUUACGGGUGGCGAGUGGCGGACGGGUGAGGAAUACAUCGGAAUCUACUUUUUCGUGGGGGAUAACGUAGGGAAACUUACGCUAAUACCGCAUACGACCUACGGGUGAAAGCAGUGGAUCUUCGGACCUUGCGCGAUUGAAUGAGCCGAUGUCGGAUUAGCUAGUUGGCGGGGUAAAGGCCCACCAAGGCGACGCUCCGUAGCUGGUCUGAGAGGAUGAUGAGCCACAAUGGAACUGAGACACGGUCCAGACUCCUACGGGAGGGAGCAGUGGGGAAUAUUGGACAAUGGGCGCAAGCCUGAUCCAGCCAUACCGCGUGGGUGAAGAAGGCCUUCGGGUUGUAAAGCCCUUUUGUUGGGAAAGAAAAGCAGCAGGUUAAUACCCCGCUGUUCUGACGGUACCCAAAGAAUAAGCACCGGCUAACUUCGUG
rnacentral:rRNA from 1 species